GUUAGGAAUAUUGGACAAUGGGCGCAAGCCUGAUCCAGCCAUGCCGCGUGAGUGAUGAAGGCCUUCGGGUUGUAAAGCUCUUUAGCCGAUGAUUAUAAUGACUGUAGUCGGAAAAUAAGCCCCGGCUAACUUCGUGCCAGCAGCCGCGGUAAUACGAAGGGGGCGAGCGUUAUUCGGAAUCACUGGGCGUAAAGCGUGCGUAGGCGGCUUUGCAAGUUGGGAGUGAAAGCCCAGGGCUCAACCCUGGAAUUGCUCUCAAAACUGCAAGGCUCGAAUUCGAGAGAGGAUAGCGGAAUUGUCAGUGUAGCAGUGAAAUGCGUAGAUAUUGACAGGAACACCAGUGGCGUAAGCGGCUAUCUGGACGAGUAUUGACGCUGAGGCACGAAAGCGUGGGGAUCAAACAGGAUUAGAUACCCUAGUAGUCC
rnacentral:rRNA from 1 species